UUCUCCUUAGUUGCUAACGGGUGAUGCUGAGCACUCUAAGGAGACUCCCGGUGAUAAACCGGAGGAAGGUGGGGAUGACGUCAAGUCCUCAUGGCCCUUACGUCUGGGGCUACACACGUGCUACAAUGGCCGGUACAGAGGGUUCCGAUACCGCGAGGUGGAGGCAAUCCCAAAAAACUGGUCUCAGUUCGGAUUGCAGUCUGCAACUCGACUGCAUGAAGUCGGAAUCGCUAGUAAUCGCUGAUCAGCAGGCAGCGGUGAAUACGUUCCCGGGCCUU
rnacentral:rRNA from 1 species